rnacentral:rRNA from 1 species
CCUACGGGUGGCAGCAGUGGGGAAUAUUGCACAAUGGGGGAAACCCUGAUGCAGCGACGCCGCGUGAGUGAAGAAGUAUUUCGGUAUGUAAAGCUCUAUCAGCAGGGAAGAAAAUUACAGUACCUGACCAAGAAGCCCCGGCUACCUACGUGCCAGCCGCCGCGGUACUACGUAGGGGGCAAGCGUUAUCCGGAUAUACUGGGUGUAAAGGGGGCGUAGGCGGUUAUGUAAGUCUGGCGUGAAAGCCCAGGGCCCAACCCCGGGACUGCUUUGGAAACUGUGUAACUGGAGUGCAGGUGGGGUAGGAGGAAUGCCUGGUGUAGCGGUGAAAUGCGUAGAUAUCAGGAGGAACACCGGAGGCGAAGGCGGCCUGCUGGACUGAAACUGACGUUGAGGCUCGAAAGCGUGGGGAGCAAACAGGAUUAGAUACCCCAGUAGUC